AUAAAAUCCUUUCGUAGCGAGGGGGGUAUUGUAACGUUGUAUUUACAUUACAUACGUUAUUUUACAUAAAAUAAUGAAAUAAAAAUAAACUAAUAACAUAAAAUAAUAAAACUAAUAAAUAAUAAAACGUAAACACUUUUGUGCGCGAGCGUAGGCGAGUUUUUUGCUGUUCAUUAAAAAUGCAUGGCUCGCUCGCGUCACCCGUCGCCCGGCUAUCGCCAUACCACGGCUGCGCUCGGUAAUAGCAACACGUCAUUAUAUUAUGUGCAGUGACUUAUCACGUUUGCCGUAAAAUACCUAGUUAUAUAAUUUUUUUAAUCACCGGUUGUCUUAACAUAAUAUAAAAAUAAGUUUCAAGGAUUAUCGUCACCCCGAUAGGGGUUCCAGGAUAAGAUUUUGGAACGUUAAAAGAUAUAAUUCCACCAAGUUCCGGUGAUUAGUUACCCGGACACCGAGUAUCGGGAAUCACCUGUGACACGUCGAGUCAUAACCUCCAGCUGAGGGGCCUGCACCGGCGUCUUCAACGUCAGGGUUACCGAGCUACAAGGACAAACUAGAUCAACCAACAAUACACCCUACGACCCUUGCUCAAAUUGUAUUUUAAUUAUUUUUAAAUAUACAUCAUUUAAAGGCCGG